CAUGCAAGUCGAGCGAGACCUUCGGGUCUAGCGGCGGACGGGUGAGUAACGCGUGGGAAUAUGCCCUUUGGUACGGAAUAGCCUCGGGAAACUGAGAGUAAUACCGUAUGUGCCCUUCGGGGGAAAGAUUUAUCGCCAAAGGAUUAGCCCGCGUUGGAUUAGGUAGUUGGUGGGGUAAUGGCCUACCAAGCCUACGAUCCAUAGCUGGUUUGAGAGGAUGAUCAGCCACACUGGGACUGAGACACGGCCCAGACUCCUACGGGAGGCAGCAGUGGGGAAUCUUAGACAAUGGGGGCAACCCUGAUCUAGCCAUGCCGCGUGAGUGAUGAAGGCCUUAGGGUUGUAAAGCUCUUUCAGCUGGGAAGAUAAUGACGGUACCAGCAGAAGAAGCCCCGGCUAACUCCGUGCCAGCAGCCGCGGUAAUACGGAGGGGGCUAGCGUUGUUCGGAAUUACUGGGCGUAAAGCGCACGUAGGCGGACUGGAAAGUUGGAGGUGAAAUCCCAGGGCUCAACCUUGGAACUGCCUUCAAAACUAUCAGUCUGGAGUUCGAGAGAGGUGAGUGGAAUUCCGAGUGUAAAGGUGAAAUU
rnacentral:rRNA from 1 species